rnacentral:rRNA from 1 species
GUAGGUGGCAAGCGUUGUCCGGAAUUAUUGGGCGUGAAGCGCGCGCAGGCGGUCCUUUAAGUCUGAUGUGAAAGCCCACGGCUCAACCGUGGAGGGUCAUUGGAAACUGGGGGACUUGAGUACAGAAGAGGAAAGCGGAAUUCCAAGUGUAGCGGUGAAAUGCGUAGAGAUUUGGAGGAACACCAGUGGCGAAGGCGGCUUUCUGGUCUGUAACUGACGCUGAGGCGCGAAAGCGUGGGGAGCAAACAGGGAUUAGAUACCCUGGUAGUCCACGCCGUAAACGAUGAGUGCUAAGUGUUAGGGGGUUUCCGCCCCCUUAGUGCUGCAGCUAACGCAUUAAGCACUCCGCCUGGGGAUACGGCCGCAAGGCUG